rnacentral:rRNA from 1 species
UACGGGGGGGGCAAGCGUUGUUCGGAAUUACUGGGCGUAAAGGGCUCGUAGGCGGCCAACUAAGUCGGAUGUGAAAUCCCCAGGCUUAACCUGGGAACUGCAUCCGAUACUGGAUGGCUUGAAUCCGGGAGAGGGAUGCGGAAUUCCAGGUGUAGCGGUGAAAUGCGUAGAUAUCUGGAGGAACACCGGUGGCGAAGGCGGCAUCCUGGACCGGCAUUGACGCUGAGGAGCGAAGCCAGGGGAGCAAACGGG